UACGUAGGUGGCAAGCGUUGUCCGGAUUUACUGGGCGUAAAGAGUAUGUAGGCGGACAUUUAAGUAGAAAGUGAAAGGUUGGAGCUCAACUCCGACACUGCUUCCUAUACUGGGUGUCUUGAGUGCCGGAGAGGAAAGCGGAACGACACGUGUAGCGGUGAAAUGCGUUGAUAUGUGUCGGAACACCAAUGGCGAAGGCAGCUUUCUGGACGGAGCCGCAAGGCUUAAAACUGACGCUGAGAUACGAAAGCCGAGGGAGCGAACAGG
rnacentral:rRNA from 1 species